GGCUGGUCUGAAGGUAGUAAGUUAUCUCGAAUGAUUGUUCACAGUCAGUUACAGAUCCAACUCCUUGUUCUACUCUUUCCCCUCUUCUCACUACUGCACUCGACUAGUCUUAA
ensembl:misc_RNA Y_RNA Y RNA